CGAAUAAAGUAAAAUCAUAUAUACAAUAUAUUUUCUGAAAGUUUCAUUGAAUUCUGUUGAGGCCGUGUUGUAUAUUCACAGUUUGGACAUCAGAACAAACAAAAACGCUUCAUUUGGUAUCAGAAGAAUCCUCAAUUUUCAUUGUACGAAUUAUCAUUGGCAGUACCAUUUCAAAUAAUUGAAAGAUUUCAUAAAUAUAAAACGUAAAACCGAAACCUUCCAAAAAACUUAUGGUAAAAAAUUGUGGUCUGGAAACUAAAAAUACUUUCCAAAUUAUAAAUAGAAUAACCCCAAAACAGUCAUUAUUAAACCAAUGAAAUCAUACUUUUCAUGAAAUAGUAAAGUAUCAAAAGCUUUGAAUAAUUUUGUUUCUAAAGUGUCUCCUCAAUUCCAGUUUUUCGUGUUGCAAUGAGCCUAACUUGUGUACAGUAAAUUUAUGCUAAAUCAACCAAAAUUAAACCUUUAUGGGUGAAGACAUUUUGUAUGCCUUUUGGUUAUUUUUGUUGUUGGGUUGCUGUUUCAUUGAUGUGUACCCUACAUAUCCUUUAUUCAUUCCAUACAGUUCAGAUCUGUGAAAAUACCCUUUCAGAAAAAAUGCAAAGGACCUGAACAUUUUUGGGUAAUCAAAAAUUCUUUUUUAAUAUCUUACUAAUUAAACUCUUCAUGACUUUACCAUACAAAUUAUCCCAGGUUUAUGAAAAAAUGGUCACAGUAAGCCAAUCUAACUUAAAAUUACCAUCACAUACCAGCAACAUUCCUAUUAUAUCUUUUAAAAUUAACUUUGAAUCCAUAAUUUCACGUUUUUUUUAAUUCAUUUUCAGCUGUAUCCCAUCUUGAUAAAAUUUGUGUUUUGGCUAAAUAUAUCAAUAUUUUGAUUAGAAGUUCGUAUUCAAUGCAAACAUUAAAUUUUGCCAAAAUUUUUUUUUUAAGUUCGUAUUUAAUGUAGAAAUUUUUGUAUAAAAGGACCUAAGUUGUAUUUCCCAUGUCUAACCCCAACUUAGUAAAUUCUGUACAAUUUUGAAGAAAGAGACCAAAAAGUUCAUGAAAAAUAUUUUCUUGAUAAUUGAAAUUUUACAUCCUAGCUUUUUUAUGCCCCUGCCGUAGCGGAGGAGGCAUUUAGUGUUUCCCUUGUUUGUCCAUCCCAAAAUGGAUUUCUGUUCUCUACCUCAACUAAAUUUUAUAUUAAACUUAUACACAAUGCUUAUUACCACAAAACACAGAUCAAUUUCGAAAUUGGGUGGCGUCACUAUUACUGUUCUUGAGUUCCCUUUAUCAACAUAAAAAUUGCUGAAUUUUUCGUUUCCAUUUUAUACUAAAAUUUAGUUUGCCUCAACCAAAUGUUAUGAAACUUAUACAUAAUGCUUAUAAUCACAAAACGGUCUUAACUACGUGUAUCCUGCAUCUUUAUGUGGAAGUUGACUCAUGCAUAUUUACAAGCUGGGGCAUCUGUGGCCUAUAGACGCAUUCUCCAUUUAUUUUUCAUUAUUAUGUUCUAUUUACUAUUAGCAAUAUCAUUUGAUGUCCCAUGUUUUUAUUAAAGAUUUUAUUGGGUCUGCAUGUGAAAACCUCUUUAAUUACAUGUAUUAUAACACCAUUCUUAAUAUUAUAUUGCAUUCACCUUGUGCCUUUGUCCAUGUGCCCAUUGACUCAACAAAUAUUUAUGUCACACUUUUCUCAGGCACCAAACUAAAAAAAAACUUGGUCAGCAGCUUCACAGGGAUGAGUUGUAAGGUGUGUGUGCUUUUCGGAUGUGCCAUUUGCAUGCAGGCUUCCUGUUUUCCAAAUAAUUUUCAAUAUGUUGAUUGAACUUGAUUUGGUCCAACUUUGCAUAAGUUCUACAAAACAGAAUUAUUCUUAUAUAGUCAGCAGCUUAGCAGUGAUUGGUUAUAAAGUGUGAGCCCUUUCAAGAUCUGCUGUUUUCUGAAACUUCUAAUUACCAAAAAAUGUUAAUGCUAAGCACAAAAACGCAUGAAUUCUUAUUUCUUGCAUAGAAUUUGAGGGAUGGAAAACAUCAAUUCCAAAGAUGAUAGGGAAAGAAGACAUUUUUAUGUAAUUGGCACUUUUUAUAAUCUCUGCAAAAAGUUUUUUUUUUUUGUACCUUUAAGAUGAUACAGAAAUUAUGGAAAAUUGUGGACCUUUUGGAAUUCUAUUUUUGAUUAAUUGAGAUUUUUUAAUUGUUGCGUUCAUUCAGAUUUGAUCUAUAUAUCAUUUUCUCCAAAAUAAAACCAACUGAAAGGGAAACUUACCUUUCAACCAUUUUAAACAUCUUGAAACAUGGUCUUCAAUGAUAAGCCUAGAUCAUCAAUUAAAAACAACUUUCAUCCUGAAAGUUGGACUUCAAUAAUGAGCAAAGAUCAUCAUUUUAAGCAAAUAUCAUCAUUUUAAGCUUGCAUGAACUGAAUAUAAAUGAGAAAAGAUUUUAAAACGCUAAAAUGAACUGAAGAUUGACAAUCAGGUUUAAUAUCUCCUAAAGAACAGAUAUUGGAACAUUUUUCAUACCAGUUUUGGCUUUUCUUGUUUUGUGAUUAAAAAAAAAUAUUAGCCUUUAUAACUGUAAAAAAAGUAAUUUUCUUUUUAACUUUUAAAAUAUUGAGAAAUAGAAAAAUGUUUCCCCUUUUGAAAUAUUAUUACUCUAAACAUCAUAACCUGGUUUUAAAGAUUACAUUACAGAAACACGCCAGAAUUGUAUACUUAAAGUACCUAUUUAGUUUUCAUUCACCAGAGAAUUAUAUAUAAAUAUAUGCAAAAUUGUAGAAUUUUAUGGCAAUCUUUAAUAAUUUGACUGUCUGAACAAUUGUGGCAUGAACAUGGGAGAACUUGAACCAGCUCAUAAAAAGUACUGUGAAGUGAAAAUAGACUAUUCUAAUAAUGUCUUUGCCCAGAUUUGAAUUAAUGAAGUGGAAUGGACAAAAAUUAUGAGGAUACCAUUCAGAAUUAUAAGUGAACAAUGACAAUAGGAAACAUUCAGAUGAGGGAUCCGACCAGACUUUAAUAGACUGAAUACAGAUUUGACCAGCAAGUGACCAGUAAUCAUGUUGAUAGACAGUGAGAGUAGGAUAUAUACUGACCUCCAAGAUGCACACAUUACAUCCUGGUCUGAAGAUUGUACAUGCAAAACUUAAGAUUUCCAGUGGUUAAUUCAAGUAAUAAUUCUCAGGAAAGUUACAAAGGACCUGGGAGCUUAAUAUAAUCAACUUUAAGAUUAAUUGUGCUUGGAAAUUCACAACAACUCUGAUACAAAAGAAGGGAUUUUGGAUCAGAAGAAUGCUUUGAAAACAUUUGACAAAGUAACAAUUAUGCAUUAUAUUAAUAUUUUUGUUUUGAUGAACAAGAGUGAGAGAGAGAGAGAGAUACAAUUGUAAUGAUUUAUUCAUUUUCAACCAGUCAACCAGACAUGUAAAUAAGAAAAAAUUCAGUUGGAAUUUAGAUCAAGGCCAACAGUUCUCCUUUAAAUAUAGUCACAUUAGUUAAAGAUUUAAAUUAGUCUAGUUUGAAAUAGUUCUUUUGUUAAUGCAAGACUUGGAUGUGACCAGUGAGAAUUGUAAGGUCCUUACCAUAAGUAGUCAGAGAUUGCUCUGAUGUCCAACCACCUGUUUUUUUUACUGGUUUGAGGCAAUUUGAUAUCCAAUAUCCCCAACCAAUUCCAAAAACAGGUAGUAGGAAGUCGGAUAAAUUUAGGACUACUAAUAUUGUCCUCAAAUAUGUUUCUAUGUGGACACGGGAUCCAUUGGAAACAUUAUCUAUUAGUAAUCUCACUUGAGCAUAGUUGGUUUAAAUUGAAUAAAUCUUGAGUGGAAAGUGGAAAAAAAAUUAUAUGUAAUUGUUAUAAUUAUUUAAUUUAUCACCACAGACAUGACAAAAAUAAAUGUUGCAUGUUUUUUUGCAGUAAUUUUCAAACUUUUCCAUGGAAACAUCCGUGGUGAUUAAUGGAAAGACUGGCAGGCUGAAAUAUAGGGCAAGGGGAGGGAAUACCCCAGCUUGCUUAUCAUUUCAUACUGGUUAGUUUCCAUGAUAAAAUUGUCUUAUACAAAUGUUGUACAUAUCAGAUGUAUAGGUUUUAUAAAGUGAGUUGUUAUUUGGAGCUCUGUAAAAACAAAAAAAACAAAAAUGAAAAAAAGAAAAGAAAAAAAGAAAAGAAAUACAAAUGUAAACAGAGUUCUAAAUUAAUAACUUUAUUGGGUGGUAUAAGUUGUGGAUUACUAUUUUGGUGUUUUUAUUUUAUGUAUUUGUUUUUAAUACAUCUGAUAAUUUUUAGGGGGAAUACUUUGUACAUAAUUACUCUGGUGCAGGUGCUCUGGUGGCCAUUAUACAUUGAUAGACAGAUUUUGAUCACUUAUAAAUACAUAUAUAAAUUAACAGUAUAAAUUUUCUUUGUAUGUGAGCUCUGUAAUAAAAAAAGCUUGUAAACAGAGUUCUAGAUCAUACAAAAGGUGGAUUGGUCUAAGAUCGGUUUUCCAAUUAUGUUAAAAUGUCAUCUACAAAAAUGCAUCUGUUAUGUGUUCUAUUGGGUUUUGUGUGUCCAAAACUCCUUAUGUAUAGUUUCUUAGGUCCACCCACUAAAUAGAAUAAGUUUUUAUGAAAGGGAAGGAGGUUGUUGACUUCAUCUCAAAUUCCUGGAAAAUAAAUGCUGAUUCUGAAUUUAUAAAAAAAAGGUCCUCUUGUCCUUCGUUGACAUUUGGUAUAUAUAUAAAAUCUUUUGAGGCAGGUAUGUAAUCAGUUCAUAGACAGGUUUUACUUUUAAAAAUAAAUAAUUGCAUCAGUUUCCAUGGAUAUAAGUUGUCCUAUCCCCUUAGUCCUGGGACUUCAAAGUAAAUAAGUUUCUGAUUAAUUGGGGGUAUUUAUUGAAUGCUACAAAAAUAUAUAGGGUUCUAAUGUAAACAAAUGACACUUUUUUUUUGUUAUGAGGUACUUAUUUUUUUAUUCUAGCUGGAAACAACAAACCUACAAUUUAUUUAAGACUUUUCUUUUAUAAUUUUACGAAAAUACAUAUUCUUAUUUCAUCUGAAAAUAGCCCAUUUUUGACUAGGUUGUUUUAAUAUGUGGUAGAGAGAUUUAAAAAAUGUACAGAUUUUUCAUGUUAAUUUUGACAAUUAUUUAUCUAUUUUUUGUCAUUGUUUUCAAGUACAUUUGCUAACUAUAACCUGUUUGUUAGUUAAUGACAAUUGUAUAAGUUAAAAUUUCUGUAGAAAUUACACACCCAUGCUUUUUCCCUACAAUAUUAUAAUAUGUGAAAUGUAUUUGCAUGUUUGGGGUUUUUUAAUGCAGGGUGUUUGUGCAUGUAAUUUUUGAAAAUAAAUUACUGUAAAUUGAAA